rnacentral:rRNA from 1 species
CCUACGGGAGGCAGCAGUGGGGAAUAUUGCACAAUGGGGGAAACCCUGAUGCAGCGACGCCGCGUGAGUGAAGAAGUAAUUCGUUAUGUAAAGCUCUAUCAGCAGGGAAGAAAAUGACGGUACCUGAGUAAGAAGCCACGGCUAACUACGUGCCAGCAGCCGCUGUAAUACGUAGGGGGCAAGCGUUAUCCGGAUUUACUGGGUUUAAAGGGAGCGGAGACGGCAGUGCAAGUCUGGAGUGAAAGGCGGGGGCUCAACCCCCGGCCUGCUCUGGAAACUGUACGGCUGGAGUUCAGGCGAGGUAAGUGGAAUUCCUAGUGUAGCGGUGAAAGGCGUAGAUAUUAGGAGGAACACCAGUGGCGAAGGCGGCUUACUGGACUGUAACUGACGUUGAGGCUCGAAAGCGUGGGGAGCAAACAGGAUUAGAUACCCGAGUAGUC